rnacentral:rRNA from 1 species
UUCGGUGUGGGAGUUACCAUUAAGCAUUCCCUGGGGAGUACGGCCCCAAGGUUAAAAUCAAAAAAUUGACGGGGGCACGCUCAAGCGGUGGAGCAUGUGGUUUAAUUGAAGCAACGCGCAGAACCUUACCAACCCUUGACAUUCCGUCGCGGACCCGAGAGAUUGGGUUUUCAGUUGGCUGGACGGAACACAGGUGUGCAUGGCGUCCUCAGCUCGUGUCUGAGAUGUUGGGUUAAGUCCCGCAACGAGCGCAACCCCCAUCCAGUUGCCAACAUUGAGUUGGGCACUCUGGUGGAACUCCGGUGCAAGCCGGAGGAAGGCGGGGAUGACGUCAAGUCCUCAUGGCCCUUAUGGGUUGGGCUACACACGUGCUACAAUGGCGGUGACAGUGGGAAGCGAAGUCGCGAGAUGGAGCCAAUCCCCAAAAUCCCUAUCAGUUCGGAUUGCCUUGCAACUCAUGCACGAAGUUGACCCGCUAC